UACGUAGGGUGCGAGCGUUAAUCGGAAUUAUUGGGCGUAAAGAACGUGUAGGCGGCCAGACAGGUCCGUUGUGAAAACUGGAGGCUUAACCUCCAGACGUCGAUGGAAACCGUCUGGCUAGAGUCCGGAAGAGGAGAGUGGAAUUCCUGGUGUAGCGGUGAAAUGCGCAGAUAUCAGGAAGAACACCCGUGGCUAAGGCGGCUCUCUAGUACGGUACUGACGCUGAGGUGCGAAAGCUAGGGGAGCAAACGGG
rnacentral:rRNA from 1 species